GCCCCUAAGUUAAUUAGCUUACUCGGAUAAUAACUCUAGGGACUGUUCAUAUAUAGGCAGGGCAGGGCCGGGCUAGCCGGGAUGAAUCGUGUCAGGAGAAUUUUUUCCUGACCAUAAAAGAUAUUUUAUAGAAAACCAUAUACUGUUAUUGGAAUACGGUUAUUAGAGCUUCACACUAAAAUAGAUGUACAAUUAUAUUGAUUGAUUGUUAUCUUUUCAUAAUACACGGAGCAAGCUAAAAACCUGACUUACUCUUCACAUUUCUCAUUCUCGUUUUGUGUUUGUAGUGGAUGGCGUGUCUUUGAAGUAUUCAACUUUACCAAACGAAGGUUUCGUACAGAUAGUGACCAAAUAUAAUGGGAACCAGACUGUUUGUUGGCAAAGUUUAACGAACGAGGCCGCGAAUACUUUUUGUCGUCAAUUGGGUUACACGAGAAUGGCGUCUAAUGUUAGUAAAGUCCCUCCUCCAUCAAACCAAGAUGCAAUAUUUUCUGGAAGUAUAGAGUGUACCAGUGGAGGGAAAAACUUAUCUCAAUGUUCCUUUACCACUUCUAACGAAAGUUGUUCUGAGAUUUCUUACGUAGAAUGU
rnacentral:lncRNA from 1 species